rnacentral:rRNA from 1 species
UGGGGAAUUUUGGACAAUGGGGGAAACCCUGAUCCAGCCAUCCCGCGUGUGCGAUGAAGGCCUUCGGGUUGUAAAGCACUUUUGGCAGGAAAGAAACGUCAUGGGUUAAUACCCCGUGAAACUGACGGUACCUGCAGAAUAAGCACCGGCUAACUACGUGCCAGCAGCCGCGGUAAUACGUAGGGUGCAAGCGUUAAUCGGAAUUACUGGGCGUAAAGCGUGCGCAGGCGGUUCGGAAAGAAAGAUGUGAAAUCCCAGAGCUCAACUUUGGAACUGCUUUUUUAACUACCGGGCUAGAGUGUGUCAGAGGGAGGUGGAAUUCCGCGUGUAGCAGUGAAAUGCGUAGAUAUGCGGAGGAACACCGAUGGCGAAGGCAGCCUCCUGGGAUAACACUGACGCUCAUGCACGAAAGCGUGGGGAGCAAACAGG